CACCCCAGCAAUAGGCAAAGAGACACCUUGAUGAUAGUGCUGUUCUCAUACCAGUCAGGGACAGAGCAGAUAGCAAUCCUUUGUUCAUCCUGGCUUGAUGUCUACUUUGGUGACCAAAGCUGUCUCAUACCUAGGAUUCAUAG